GGCGGCGUGCCUAAUACAUGCAAGUCGAGCGCAGGAAACAAGUAGAUCCCUUCGGGGUGACGCUUGUGGAAUGAGCGGCGGACGGGUGAGUAACACGUGGGCAGCCUACCUUGUAGACUGGGAUAACUCCGGGAAACCGGAGCUAAUACGGGAUGAUCAUUUGAAUCGCAUGAUUGAAAUGUAAAAGUGGGGAGUAAUCCUCACACUACGAGAUGGGCCCGCGGCGCAUUAGCUAGUUGGUAAGGUAAUGGCUUACCAAGGCAACGAUGCGUAGCCGACCUGAGAGGGUGAUCGGCCACACUGGAACUGAGACACGGUCCAGACUCCUACGGGAGGCAGCAGUAGGGAAUCAUCCGCAAUGGGCGAAAGCCUGACGGUGCAACGCCGCGUGAACGAUGAAGGUUUUCGGAUCGUAAAGUUCUGUUAUGAGGGAAGAACAAGUGCCGUUCGAAUAGGGCGGCACCUUGACGGUACCUCACGAGAAAGCCCCGGCUAACUACGUG
rnacentral:rRNA from 1 species